UCUUAGAUCUUUGAUUGGUGUUUUGCAAAAAGUGUGAUACAGAAUUGGACACUGAGUGUUUUGCAAGAAUUGUGCUU